rnacentral:rRNA from 1 species
AUUGAUUUUAUGCUUGCAUAAAUGAUUUUUGGAUUCGGAGCGAGUGGCGAACUGGUGAGUAACACGUGGGUAACCUGCCCCGAAGCGGGGGAUAACAUUUGGAAACAAGUGCUAAUACCGCAUAAUUAGUUGGAACCGCAUGGUUCCAACUUGAAAGAUGGCUCUGCUAUCACUUUGGGAUGGACCCGCGCCGUAUUAGUUAGUUGGUGAGAUAAAAGCCCACCAAGACGAUGAUACGUAGCCGACCUGAGAGGGUAAUCGGCCACAUUGGGACUGAGACACGGCCCAGACUCCUACGGGAGGCAGCAGUAGGGAAUCUUCCACAAUGGACGAAAGUCUGAUGGAGCAACGCUGCGUGAGUGAUGAAGGUUUUCGGAUCGUAAAACUCUGUUGUUAAAGAAGAACAAGUGUUAGAGUAACUGUUAACACUUUGACGGUAUUUAACCAGAAAGCCACGGCUAACUACGUGCCAGCAGCCGCGGUAAUACGUAGGUGGCAAGCGUUGUCCGGAUUUAUUGGGCGUAAAGCGAGCGCAGGCGGUUUUGUAAGUCUGCUGUGAAAGCCCUCAGCUCAACUGAGGAAGUGCAGUGGAAACUACAAAACUUGAGUACAGAAGAGGAAAGUGGAACUCCAUGUGUAGCGGUGAAAUGCGUAGAUAUAUGGAAGAACACCAGCGGCGAAGGCGGCUUUCUGGUCUGUUACUGACGCUGAGGCUCGAAAGCAUGGGUAGCGAACAGGAUUAGAUACCCUGGUAGUCCAUGCCGUAAACGAUGAAUACUAGGUGUUGGAGGGUUUCCGCCCUUCAGUGCCGCAGCUAACGCAUUAAGUAUUCCGCCUGGGGAGUACGACCGCAAGGUUGAAACUCAAAGGAAUUGACGGGGGCCCGCACAAGUGGUGGAGCAUGUGGUUUAAUUCGAUGCUACGCGAAGAACCUUACCAGCUCUUGACAUCUUCUGCCAACCCAAGAGAUUGGGCGUUCCCUUCGGGGACAGAAUGACAGGUGGUGCAUGGUUGUCGUCAGCUCGUGUCGUGAGAUGUUGGGUUAAGUCCCGCAACGAGCGCAACCCUUAUUAUUAGUUGCCAGCAUUUAGUUGGGCACUCUAGUGAGACUGCCGGUGAUAAA